rnacentral:rRNA from 1 species
CGCCAACACUGGGACUGAGAACUGCCCAGACUCCUACGGGAGGCUGCAGUCGAGAAUCAUUCGCAAUGGGCGAAAGCCUGACGAUGCGACGCCGUGUGAGUGAAGAAGGCCUUCGGGUCGUAAAGCUCUUUCGCUUGGGAACAAGAGAGGUUGACUAAUAUUCAACUAAUUUGAGCGUACCAGG